UUCAUUGGAUUUAAGAUAAGUGCUUUUAGUUAAGGCUAGAAGAGAAUAGGGAAACAGGUGUAAAUCCUGUGCGGUAACGCCGCUGUAAUGAGUGACGAAAGCUAAAAUGCCACUGCUUUUAUUAGUGGGAAGGCUGGCAAGUAGGAUGAUCUCAGAGUCAGAAGACCUGCUUAUCUUUGCUCAUCGCAU
rnacentral:ncRNA from 19 species